rnacentral:rRNA from 1 species
CUUGAGGGGUUAAGGCUCCCAGUAGACGACUGGGUUGAUAGGCCAGAUAUGGAAGCACCGCAAGGUGUGGAGUUGACUGGUACUAAUAGGCCGAGGGCUUGUCCUCAGAUG